CCUGCUGUCCUGUCAUUUUGUGCUAACCCCAAAAGGCAGUGUUAAAUUGAUGUCAUCUUUCCAAUUUCUUCUCAGAUCCAUUUUCCUUUCUGGUUAACAAUGGAAACAUUUGUGCAAUAAUCAAGGGAGAAAAGUGGCCAAACAUGUAUGCCGUGAAAACCCCUAAAUGGGAUGAAUGCAUUUAUUUAUCUGCGCAUCCCAUCGUUCUGGAUGACACAAAGAAGGAUGAAUCUCAUGCAGGUAGCAACAGAUAACUGAUACAGUGACUGGAUUGCUACUGGACCAUGGACAUCAAAGUAUCUUCCCCAAGGGGGCCCUUAAAUGUUCUUCUGGAACAAGCAGCCCUGGGAAGGCCCAAGCACAGCAGAGCCCUCUUACCUGGGCUGCACCUGAUUAAGCAUUCCCUGCCCUCCGCAGCAGUUCCAGUACAUAGAAGUCCCAGGCAACCACUACGUGCACCUGAACCAACCUCAGAACGUGGCUGA
rnacentral:lncRNA from 1 species